rnacentral:lncRNA from 1 species
AUAAAAUCACCCUAGUAGAAGAAACCAAGCACUUUGCCACCAACAUUCUUUCUCCUAGCCUCCUCAUGAUCCAUGAUGCCAGCCGAAGUAGUCAGCACAAUGUAUCCAAACUGCAAUUUUUGGACCAUCAUCAAAGGUCAUCAAAUGAAACCACAUAUAUUGUUGGCAAAGGAAAUCUAGCCUGUAAUACACUAGUAUGCAGCUAAAAUAAUAACAGCAUAUGAAAAGACAUGUACAUUAUAUAUUGUUAGGUAGAAAGCAACCUAGGAGGCUAAAGUUAUCUAAUUCCAGCACAUUCUCAAUCACUUCAAAAUUCUAUGAAUAGCAAACUCAAUUGAUCCAGUGACGUUUAAGUUCCAAUUAUAUCUAAUGGGUAAAACCCAUCAGAAAACACCCGUUAGUGAGCUUGUGAUUACUCAGUGGUGACUGGAGCAGCAGUUUCAUGGAAGUAGAAUUAACAAGGAGGUUUCAUGCUAACCUGUCUUGAGGGGAGCAGCCUAGCAGUCCAUGGCUCAAUAUCUUUGACACCCACAUCAAAACGGGGACUGAUAACCCCACAUUUGUUUAGUCUUCCAUUCAGUUCAACAACAAUCUUUC